rnacentral:rRNA from 1 species
GACGAACGCUGGCGGCGUGCCUAAUACAUGCAAGUCGAGCGGACUUUCAAGAAGCUUGCUUUUUGAAAGUUAGCGGCGGACGGGUGAGUAACACGUGGGCAACCUGCCUGCAAGACGGGGAUAACUCCGGGAAACCGGGGCUAAUACCGGAUAAUAUCUUCCUUCGCAUGAAGGAAGGUUGAAAGGCGGCGCAAGCUGCCGCUUGCAGAUGGGCCCGCGGCGCAUUAGCUAGUUGGUGAGGUAACGGCUCACCAAGGCGACGAUGCGUAGCCGACCUGAGAGGGGGAUCGGCCACACUGGGACUGAGACACGGCCCAGACUCCUACGGGAGGCAGCAGUAGGGAAUCUUCCGCAAUGGACGAAAGUCUGACGGAGCAACGCCGCGUGAGCGAAGAAGAUCUUCGGAUCGUAAAGCUCGGUUGUCAGGGAAGAACAAGUACCGUUCGAACAGGGCGGUACCUUGACGGUACCUGACCAGAAAGCCACGGCUAACUACGUG